rnacentral:lncRNA from 1 species
AGUUUGUAGUAAUUUGUUAUACAGCAGUAGACAAGAAAGAUAGCUGUACACUAAAGUGUUGAUGGUGGGGAUACCUGGGAGGUGACAGUGUGAUAUUUUUAUUUUAACAUUUUUGAUGGUCUAUAUUUGCUAAUGUUCUAGAACAGUGUGCUUGUUCUUCCAUUAUAUUAAAAGGAUCUUUUUUUUUUUUUUUUUUUGAGACAGAGUCUUACUCUAUCCCCCAGGCUGGAGUGCAGUGGUGCCAUCUUGGCUCAAUGCAACCUCCGCAUCCUGGGUUCAAGUGAUGCUCAUGCCUCAGCCUCCCGAGUAACUGGGAUUACAGGCCCCCGCCACCAUGCCUGGCUAAUUUUUGUAUUUUUAGUAGAGACGGGGAUUCACUAUGUUGUCCAGGCUGAUCUCGAACUCCUGACCUCAGGUUAUCCCCGGGCCUUGGCUUCCCAAAGUUCUGGGAUUACAGGAGUAAGCCACCAUGCCAGGCCUCUUUUUUUUUUUUUUUCCAGACGGGGUCCCACUCUGUCACCCAGGCUGGAAUGCAGUGACAUGAUCACGGCUCACUGUAGCCUCGAACGCCCAGGCCCAAACGAUUCUCCCACCUCAGCCUCCUGAGUAGCUGGGAACACAGGCGUGUGUAUUACACCUGGCUAAUUUUUAAAUUUUUUGUAGAGAUGAAGGUCUUGUUAUGUUGCUUAGGCUGGUCUCGAAUUCCUGGGUUCAAGUGAUCCUCCUGUCUCAGCCUCUCAAAGUGCUGGGAUUACAGGCGUGAGCCACUGUGCCUGGCCUGAAAACGAGAUUUUUUUUUUUUGAGACGGAGUCUUGCACUGUUGCCCAGGCUGGAGUGCAGUGGUGCAAUCUUGGCUCACUGCAAGCUCUGCCUCCCAGGUUCACGCCAUUCUCCUGCCUCAGCCUCCCAAGUAGCUGGGACUACAGGCGCCCGCCACCACACCCGGCUAAUUUUUUUUUUUGUAUUUUUAGUAGAGAUGGGGUUUCACCGUGUUAGCCAGGAUGGUCUUGAUCUCCUGACCUCGUGAUCUGCCCACCUCCCAAAGUACUGGGAUUACAGGCAUGAGCCAGGGCGCCCAGCCUAAAAAGGAGAUUUUUAAAAAUCCUUUCAGAAAACUAGGUGGAAAGCCCUCCCCUUCAUCUCCUCCCUUUCUCCUGAGACAACCUACCAUGGGUUCUUCUUUACCUCCUCCAUGAUAUUUGCUGUAUCUGUAUCACAUAUGUUAUUAUUAACAUAAUACUUUUUAUAAUCGUCUUUUUCUCUUAAAAAGGAAGAACCCUAAAUACUUUAGCCUCUUCCUGAGCAGUAAUAUUCGUGAAGUUAUGGGUUAGCUGUGCCAUUUGUUCCUCCUAGCACAUCAAAAUACAUAACUAUAAUUAUUAAAAAAUACGAGUCCGCCAGGAGUGGUGGCUCACGCCUAUAAUCCCAGCACUUUGGGAGGCCACGGCAGGUGGAUCACGUGAGGUCAAGAGUUCGAGACCAGCCUGACCAACAUGGUGAAAACCUUUCUCUACUAAAAAUACAAAAAUUAGCUGGGCAUGGUGGUGCAUACCUGUGAUCCCAGCUACUCGGGAGGCUGAGGCACGAGAAUUGCUUGAACCCGGGAGGCGGAGAUUGCAGUGAGCGGAGAUUGCACCACUGCACUCCAGCCUGGGUGACAGAGCCAGACUCCAUCUCAAAAAAAAAAAAAAAAAAAAAAAAAAGGUCUAUCCCCAGCAAGGUCGCCCGCCACACAAACAUAUAUAUAUAUAUAUAUAUAUAUAUAUAUAUACACAAACACAUAGACACACAUGGGUCCGUGUACCUCCAUCGGUAUACAAAACAGGCUCUGGGAAUGGCUGAUCUCAUAUAAUCCUUUUGAUGCUUUGGUUUCAGUUGAAAACAAAAGCCUGGGAGGGAGGGUUGGCUCCUGAGUGCCUGAGAACAUCAGAUGCGGCCCUGCCCAUAAAGCCCAAAGGCAGGGGAACACGGAGGCUUGGCUACUGCCUAGGGCCAUGGAGGGGAAAGGACCCUACAACAGGAGGAGGUAAAGCCCAGAUUUGUGUUUCUGUAAACUGCCCUGCCCAUGGGUGGGUGGCAGAGCUGGGGUUCAGCCCAGCCCAUCUGAUUCCUCAGCUUGGGUUCAUGCCACUUUGCCUCCCAAGGAAAAGACCAGAAGGAAUUGGGCAUGAACUCAAAGACCAGGGGAUGAAACAAGUGUGUGUGUGUGUGUGUGUGUGUGUGUGUGUGUUUAUGUGUGUGUGUGUGUUUUACCUGAAGGAAGGAGGAAGCAACAAGAAAAAAAAAGUCAGAAAUUUGGGUUUUCAUAUUCCUUGGCCUCAUGGGAAAUUCAUACUAGAGCUUUCCUGGUCAAAGUACCCACCAACUGGCCUGUUACUUUAUCUUUGAAAUGAGAAUAAUGAAGGUAGGUUUUGUAGAAUGCUAGUAGUGAAGUUAAAAACACUUCUUGCUAAAAUCAUAUUUAUGACUACAUUCGUGGUUCUGAGAAUCUGGAUAUGGAGAAUGACUGGUCACUGAGGUCCUCCCUUUUGUCCUCACCCCUUACAGUCUGUUCUGGAAACAACAGCCAGAGGUAUCCCCUGAAACCCGAGUCAGAUCCUGUCCCUUUUGGCACACAAUUCUCCAGAGCCUUCCUGUGUUAUAUGAGUGAAAGUCAAGGGUGUUAGGAAGGCCCUGGCUGGUCUGGUUCCUGCCCCCUCCCUUCUCUGAGCUCAAGGCCACUCACCUCCCCUCCCUUCCUCCCUUUCAGCCACAUGGGCUGCUUUGCCGUUCCUGGAAUACACUGAGCUCACUCCUCCCUCAGGGCCUUUGCACUGGCUAUUCCCUCUGCUGUUAUGCGGUUCCCUGGCCUGCUCUUUCUGUAUUGUCUGCAGGGCUCCUUCCUGCACUGCUCAAGGUCUUUGUUGAAGUGUCAACUUCUCAGCAAGUAAGUCCCUGGUCACGCUUUUGAAAACUGCAUCCUUUCCCCAAACCCCAGCUCCUAUAUUCCCUGUCUCCUUUUCUCCUUCCCACUCACUACCAUAAAACUACAUGUUUGGCUUAUUUGUUUGCUACCUUUCUUUCCCACAAAAAUGUAAGCUCUUGACUGCAGGGAUUUUUUUUUUUUUAAAUCUGUUUUGUUCACCACAGUUUCCCAGGGCCCACAACAGCGAGUGACAUACAGCAAGUGCUGGGUGAUUAUUCGUUGCAUAACGAAUGACUGAGCCAGCGAAUGACGGGUUGGAAGGAUUAAAUGAGACCAUGCGUGCGAGGCACAGAGUGGGGGCACAGUGGCCUGAUUUUCUGAGGGUAUGGCCUCGGGCUCAUGCCUGCCUUGGCCCAAGGAUCCCCUUUCUCUCCCAGGACCCCUUGUGGUUUGAACGCCAGUGGCCAUGCUGUCAGAGCAGCCCUCAGUUGGCCAGGCUUUUGCUGGAUUUUCAAUAAGUGAUUUCCCUCCAUGGACAGAGCAAGAAUCACUUAAAAUCAUUCAUGAGAAACUCAUGGCUGUGAUUUCUGCAGGCGGCUUUGCAGGCCAUGAGAGCCUGCGAGGGUUUGUGGGGUGAGCAAGGGGAGGUGACAAACAGAGAGCGAAAAACAUUCAGCCUGCUUCUCUGUGGCCUCCCGCCUCCUCUUUUUUCCUGAGACUUGGGUCAGAAUAACUGUUUUGGGCAGGAAAAGCUGCUAGGGUGAACGCCGAGGCCCAGCCAUGCUCCAGUCUUGGACUUUAGCCCCCACAGUAGGGGAUGUGGUUGUGGCAGACCCAGCUCCCCACUGCCCCGCUCUGUCUUCCCAGGCUGGGAAGCUGCUCCCUUAAGCCUCAUCCUGGAGCUUGGUUGCCUUGGUUCCCUAGCUACAUGGUUGUGGGGUGGCCCCUAGGGUUCAUUU